ACCGAAUUCAGGGUGGUCGUCGUUCGUAUGUCGACCACGAGGCAGCGGCCAUUUUAAAUCAAGCGAACGCCCAGCGGUGUUUGGCUCUAUUUCUAUGGAACUGAAAACGGACACUUUUUCUGCCGAACACCGCUGAAACAACGGAACGCCUGGCUGCCUCCAUGAAAGCAUGCGAACACCGGCCGUUCGGGAGUUUGAGAGCAUACGAAAAG